rnacentral:rRNA from 1 species
GACGAACGCUGGCGGCGUGCUUAACACAUGCAAGUCGAACGGAAAGGCCCCUUCGGGGGUACUCGAGUGGCGAACGGGUGAGUAACACGUGGGCAAUCUGCCCUGCACUUCGGGAUAAGCCUGGGAAACUGGGUCUAAUACCGAAUAGGACCACUUGGCGCAUGCCUUGUGGUGGAAAGCUUUUGCGGUGUGGGAUGGGCCCGCGGCCUAUCAGCUUGUUGGUGGGGUGAUGGCCUACCAAGGCGACGACGGGUAGCCGGCCUGAGAGGGUGUCCGGCCACACUGGGACUGAGAUACGGCCCAGACUCCUACGGGAGGCAGCAGUGGGGAAUAUUGCACAAUGGGCGCAAGCCUGAUGCAGCGACGCCGCGUGGGGGAUGACGGCCUUCGGGUUGUAAACCUCUUUCACCAUCGACGAAGGUCCGGGUUUUCUCGGAUUGACGGUAGGUGGAGAAGAAGCACCGGCCAACUACG